GGAGGGGGCUAGCGUUAUUCGGAAUUAUUGGGCGUAAAGGGCGCGUAGGCGGCCCGGUAAGUCAAAGGUGAAAUCCCUCGGCUCAACUGAGGAACUGCCUUUGAAACUGUCGGGCUUGAGGCCGGGAGGGGGUAGCGGAAUUCCCAGUGUAGCGGUGAAAUGCGUAGAUAUUGGGAGGAACACCGGUGGCGAAGGCGGCUACCUGGACCGGUUCUGACGCUGAUGCGCGAAAGCGUGGGUAGCAAACAGGAUUAGAUACCCUGGUAGUCCACGCUGUAAACGAUGGGUGCUCGGUGUCGCGGGUAUCGACCCCUGCGGUGCCUUAGCUAACGCGUUAAGCACCCCGCCUGGGAAGUACGACCGCAAGGUUA
rnacentral:rRNA from 1 species